CUCCGCACGUAGGGAAAGGGCAGCUCCGCACGUAGGGAAGGGGCAGCUCCGCAGCCUCCGAGGCGGUGGGCAGAGAAAGGGAGAGGGAGAGAGAGAGGAGGAGGCUGGAGCCGGAGGGACCUCCGAGGAGAGCAACUCGCCGAGCUCGCAAGAUUUCUUCACAUUCCAUUUCCCUGUGAUAACAUAUGUUCCCGCUCUUGUCAUGGAUAUCUUGGUCUGAGAAGCUUGAGGCUCCUGACAGACAGCCUAAAACAGAUACUUCUGCCAGCACAGCUGUAUGGGACAGACGACUCCUGGUUUGCAGCUGUAGCCCAAGAGAACACUCCAACAUGGUUAACACAUCUGGCUGUAUCCAUGGGGAGCAGCCGAAGAGCUCGACCCUGGGCAUGUCCAUGCCAACCACUCUCAUUGACCACACAACAGCACGCCUCGCCCAACAAAUACCAACUAGGCACAAGCUCACUUAAAAGAUGCAGAUGUCACAGAGCCUGUUUACAACAGAGCUCUUCUCUUUUGACUGUGCUGAAUAUGCAGUCAUUCCAUUUUCUUCACUGCUUGUUGGAACUUUAUUUUGUCCAGUGCUGCUAACCACAAUAAAUUAUUCUUCCAUGGAAAGGAGUCUCAAGCAAGCCCAGCACUUAGCACAGAGAAACCAAACCAGUAUAACUCAACUUCCCUAAAGACUUCAUAAAAAAAGGGGGGGGGGAUUAUAAUGUAAGAGAACACCACCAAAUCCAGUUAUUCAAAUACAUGGUGAAUUAAUGAUGCAAGUAAAAUAAAACCAAAUACCAACAACCUCAUCUCCCACCUAACAGACAGAGAAUACAACAAUUAGGUGCUCAUCCGCUUUAAAAUACUUGUAAGUUGACUUGAUCAACUUCAGCCAGGGCCAACAGAGAUGUAGGAUUGGCACUAUGAGAAGGACCCGCACAAAACACAACCCAGAGCUGCAGGCAGCCCCAAAAGCCCCAUUCCUCUCUCACCACCCACCCAGCA